UCAUAAGUUUCAUUCCAACAUGUUGAAUGUCUAAAAGGUAUAAAUAAGAAUAUGAGUUGUCAAAUUUUUUGCUAAAUGUUUCAAAACAAUAUUGAUUUUAUAAAUUAAUAAAUAAGUGUGUACAUCUUUGUAAUAACUUUAAUUAUUUAAUCAUUAUGAAUAAAAAUGAUAAAAUUUUAGCUGCUAGACGAAAGCUAAAAAAAUUCCAACAAAAUAAACAACAUCAAGAAGCUCCUCCUGGAUAUCAGAAUGAAGUAGAGAGCAAUGGGAAAUUACAGGGAACCGAGAUGAAUGAAAUAAAUAACAGCCAAUUAGUUAAAGAACAUGAUCACUUUACUGGUAAUAAUGAAGAAAAUUUUAAGUUUCUUGAAGUUAAUAAUUCAAAGGAAUUGGUCAUAAAUAAAUUUCUGGGAGUCGAUACAGUUGAACAGGAAUUUCCAGUUUUACCUGAUAUCAAAAAAGAAUUUGAAAUAUCAAAGAUGGAUAUUACUUGCAAAACAUUGUCUCCAGUCGAGCAUGAUAGUCAUAAUAACGAAUGUUCUUCUCCAUCACUUCGAAAUAGUCCUGACUUAUCCGUGAAUAACAUUAUUUUUGAAAAUGAUGUACUUCAAAAUUCUCUUUUAUUAACUAAUCAACAGAACCUUGAACAACAAAAUUCCUCUGAUAUUUUAACUGAUAACAAUUUUAUAACGAAGUCAUCUGAAAUUUAUUCUGAUUCUGUGAAUGGCAAUCAGUUAUUGCCAGAAGAUACUGAGAUUUUAACAAAACUUUAUUUUCAAGUGAAUCAGUCCCAAAAUACGAUAUCUGAGUUGGAAACUUCAAUAUUAAAAAAAGAUAUUGAAUCAAAUACGAAAUUUAUUGAAGAAAUAAAUUUCUUAAAAAAAAACCUUCAAGUUUAUCUGCAAACUACGAAUAUUCUUGUCACAGAAAAAGCAAACCUCAGUAAAUCACUUUCUAAUUAUCAGAGUUUAGUAGCAGAAAAAUCUCAGACAAUUAAAGACUUAACUCAAGAAUUGCAUGCAAGUCAGUGCCGUUGCAGCGAAUUUGAAAAAAAAUUACAUCAAACGAAUCAAGCUAUUUGUGAAAUAAAUAAAUCCUAUCAACUCUUACAAGUUAAUUAUGAAAAUUUGAAUUCUAGGUUCCUGGAAUUAGAAAAGUGCAAUGAAGAGCAAAAAUUAGAAACUGCUGAAUUACAGCAGGUUUUGAACUUAAAAAAUAUUGAUCUAACAAAUCUUCAUCAGGAAAUUCAAGAGAAAAAUAGAUUAUUGACAUUAGCAGAGUUAAAAAUUCAACAGUUAACUAAUGAAUCACAAGACACUCAUAUACUUGAAAAUCAAAAUGAAGUCCAUACAACAUUUGAAGAACAAUCAUCACAGUUACGUGAAAGCUUACAAACUUCUAAUGCAGAAAAAUUGGAAAUGUUUAAUCAUUAUGAGAAUUAUGUAAAACAAUUAGACAAAAAGUUUAAGAGCGUGACUGAAGAGUUACAAAAUGCGCAGAUAAUAAUUAAAAAUCUACAAGAACGGGAAGAAAAUUUAGUUCAGAGCUUAUCAGUCAUAGAGCAACAAUAUCAGCAAGAAAAACAGAAAGUCGAACUAUCUCUUUCGGAAAAAAAUGAUAAUCAGGUUGAAUAUUUAACUGAAAAAAUUAGUUCGUUAUUGCGUAAUAAUGAAAGCCUCCAAAAUGAUUUAAUUGAAAAAGAAAUGAAAAUAGAAGCUAUGGAAAAAGAGAUUGCAGAAUUACGUGAAUUGGACCAUCAAAGCAUUGAAACGUCAAAAUUAUUGUCAGCUUUAGAAAGUGAACAAUUAGGAGCGUCGAGAGCUAUUAGUCAAAAUCAACAGCUGAAAGAGCAAUUAAGUGAAAUGCAAGACGCAUAUGUUAUGGUUAGUAAUGAGAAAUUAAAUUUAACACAACAGUUACAAGAUGAACUUUCCGUCAAAAGUAAAUUGAAUGAUCAAUUGAACGAACUAAGAUCUGAGAGAAAUCAACUGAAAAGUGAGUUAAGUAAAAAAGAGACCAUAAUAAGCCAAAUGAUGAUGGAAAAAUCAUUUUUGGCGAAAACAGUCGACCAACAGGAUUUGCAAAAGCAAUCACAAGAGUCAUUUAUUUGUAAAACAGAAUGUCAAGAUAAUCUAGAUUCGAUCGAAAAGUCAGAAAUUCCAGAUCAAAAAUCAAUAGGAGAAUCAACUUUUGUCGAUAAAAAUUCUGGAACUACUGAUGACGAGAGUUUAGAUACUCGAAAUCAGAAACUUACUGAAGAGAGUCAACCGUCGAUUGCCGAAGCGAUAGCAGAAAAGUUGAGUAAACCUGAAAAAACACAAACUCAUAGAUUAGAUCUGAUGACUGAACCGAUAACAAAAUUGGAAGCACGAUUUAAGGAUAUGAUCGAAAAAGUAGCAGAGCUAACAGAGGAAAAACAACGUUUGGAACAUUUAGUAUUGCAACUUCAAGGAGAAACAGAAACAAUAGGAGAGUAUAUAACUCUAUAUCAUAAACAACGAGCCGUUCUUCACAGUAAAGCAGAAGAAAACGAGAAAACAUUUCACCACUUAAUUGAAAAGUACAAUCAGCAACAUGCACAGCUCCAUCAAUUAAAAGUUCUUUUUGCUGAUUUGCUGAAAGAAAGUGGAGGUUCUUUACUUCCUCGUCAAGAAGAUACUCAAUCUUCAAACAUACCCGACUUUCCCACGACAGAAGUGAAAUAUCAACAAUUAGACGGAUCGACACCUAAUGAAAUAUCUCAAACAACUGUAAAAAUUAUUGACUUAAUUAGACGUAUUAAAGACUGUAAGGAUCCAUGUACUGUGGAGCAAAACUUUCAUCCUUGUCUGUGGUGCUCAGGGAAACUGAUCACUAUAUAAUUAUCAAGUCUCAACCUAUCUGAUUCCGAUGACGCUUUACGAAUCUAUCGCUUAAGCCGCGUGGCCUAGAAGCAGAUUAUCUUCCAAUUUUAUUUUAUCCCAUAUUACCUACUGUGCGGUUGUGAACCGACUUGUGCUACUGUACUACAUCGCGCUUUAUGUCUAACCUGACGGUGGUCGACCUAGCAGUGACAUGGGAAAGCCACAGAGAAAAUUCAUGCCAAUACAAUCGACGAUAGACAAAGUCCUAAUCACUGGGCCUUUAAUCCCCGCCCAACGACAGUCAUCCAUCAAAGUCCCCGAGCUGCUCUAAACUUUGAUUUGGCUUGAAUACUCAAAGCAUCUAAAGGCUCGGAAAGUAGAAAAUUCACCAGGGACUGAACAAGUGGAUAAUAUAGCUUAUUAAAAACUGAAUGGUAAAGUGAAGGAAACUCUUUUUAAGGUAUAGAGGAGAAGUUGUGUCUCACCACUGAUCUUGACGCACCCAGAUCAUGGUUGCAGGGAGGCUGAUACCACGGGGUACCUUUCUAAGCCCACUUCGACCAGAGUUUCUGUAUUUCCUGAGAUAGCAGUAGUGUUUUGCCCAAGAGAGGUAUGGACUCGUGGUGGCUGUGGUUAGAUACAUCGUGCAUUGAGGAUUAUUGAUUAUACCUUUGGUUCAUGUCCAGCCUUGGUCGUCACUCGAUUAUAUUUUUCGACUAGGAGUGUUGUUUGGGACAGAGGUAGGGAUACCUCGUACCGCCUCGUGUAUGCCCAAAAAGGCGCGGAACUGGCCUCUCAUAAAACGGAGGUGGACUUUGGUCCCGUUGCAUUAAUUAAUUCACCCACCCAAGCGAUUACUUAAUAUCGGUGAUUGUCAAAGCCGUCCACGCGGCUACCACUGUCGCUAAUGAAAAAUUUCGAGU